rnacentral:rRNA from 1 species
AUUGAACGCUGGCGGCAUGCCUAACACAUGCAAGUCGAACGGUAACAGGCCCUUCGGGGUGCUGACGAGUGGCGGAUGGGUGAGUAAUACUUAGGAAUCUACCCUGUAGUGGGGGACGAACCCGGGGAAACUCGGGCUAAUACCGCAUACGCUCUACGGAGGAAAGCGGGGGACCGGCAAGGCCUCGCGCUAUUGGAUGAGCCUAAGCCCGAUUAGCUAGUUGGUGGGGUAAUAGCCUACCAAGGCAAUGAUCGGUAGCUGGUCUGAGAGGACGACCAGCCACACUGGGACUGAGACACGGCCCAGACUCCUACGGGAGGCAGCAGUGGGGAAUAUUGGACAAUGGGCGAAGCCUGAUCCAGCGAUGCCGCGUGUGUGAAG